ensembl:lncRNA
AAAAGCUGGGUCUCAAUGAGUUGAGUCUUGGGGCCUAGGUUUAGGGUUAAGGUUUAAUUUAUGAAAAAAAGACUUGGGUUUCUAUUGUCAUAUGCUAUUGAUCUGAUUUGUUCAUUUAUUUGUUGCAACAUUGCAGAUUUGCACAGGGACUACACUUGGGGCAAGUUGAUAUGAUAGAAGAUGGCAUUGCACGGAGCUCAAGGACUCGACAAGAAUGACAAAAAACCUGAGAAAGUUUUCUGCCCUCAGAUAAAGAUAGUUAUGAAAGCCUGUCUACAGAUGAAGAGGUCCCAAUGAAGAGCAGUGGUUCUCAGUCCUGGUUGUGGGGACUCAAAGGGGCACAUUGUUGUUUUUGCCUUAGUACUGCACAGCUGAUUCAAAUUAUCAACUCAUCAUCAAGCCUCAAGUGAUACCUUGUCACUGGAGAUUCUUUCAAAACGAUUGCCUAAAGUUACCGUGUAACACUGCAAGGUCCGGUGACCAGGGCCAUCUGGGAUUGCCUCCUGGAGGAAUUCAGAAGUGUGAAGGCUACCUGUGUCCUGCAUAACUUCUUGAGGAUGGACAUAAGGACCAG